AAGUCUCCGCUUUGGGGCUACUUCUCAGCAUGAGAACUCCUUAAGAGGUGGGGACGUGUUCACAACGGCAAAACUCAGCUGCCUGUACGUUGAGUGUCGCAGAGCACGGGACGCAGGGCGGGGCUUCUGGACCAGCGCGCAUCCCAAUUGGCUCUCGGGGCUGCCUUUUAGCCGGACGCGCGGAGGUGCCGCGGCCUGGCCCAGGCCUCACACACCUCACCUGGCAUGGCUGAGUGCUGAGCUGCUGCCCAUCUUCCUGAGCGAGGCUGUGGGCGGUGAGUCUUGAGGUGCACGGGGUAGGUGCACGAGGUGGGUGGAUCAUGAGGUCAGGAGACCAAGACCAUCCUGGCUAACAUAGUGAAACCCCGUCUCUACUAAAAAUAGAAAAAAUUAGCCAGACGUCGUGGCACACACCUGUAGUAGCAGCUAUUCAGGAGGCUGAGGCGGGAGAAUCGCUUGAACCCGGGAGGCGGAGGUUGCAGUGAGCCAAGAUUGUGCCACUGCACUCCAGCCUGAGUGACACAGCAAGACUCCAUCCCAAAAUAAAUAAAUAAAUAAAUAAAUAAAUAAAUAAAUAAAUAGCUUUUGGGCUGAGAUGAUGGGGUCAAACAGGGAUAGUUUGACUUCCUCUCUUCCUACUCGAAUACACUUUAUUUCUUUCUCUUGCCUAAUU
rnacentral:lncRNA from 1 species